UUUUUUAGUGUUGGGCAUAUGCGUUAACGAUAACAUUCUGAUUCGGCAUCACAAUCGGGAGUUUACACGCAACUGGAACCACAUUCCGCCGCCGAGAUAUUCUUCAACAGAGACGCCGUUGUCCUGGCGGUUAAUUAAAGUGUGAUUAGGGUUCCUGAACAAUGGAGUCUUUACAACGCAGAGUUGAAUCAUGGAUCAGAGGCCAAAAAUCGAAGAUGUUGAAAAUCACUUGGCCACAGCAAUGGAAGAUGGUUGUGCGGUGGCCUUGGGCCGAUGCCAGAGAGCAGAGGAAGCUGAUGGAGGAUGAAUUCAAGAGGAGGAAGAAGCAACUUCAGGAUCUUUGUCACGCUGUUAAAGCUGAAUCUGUCGCUGACUUGCAAGAUAUCCUUUGUUGCAUGGUGCUUUCUGAAUGUGUAUAUAAG
rnacentral:lncRNA from 1 species